rnacentral:rRNA from 1 species
UGAGUAAUGUCUGGGAAACUGCCCGAUGGAGGGGGAUAACAUACUGGAAACGGUAGCUAAUACCGCACAACGUCGCAAGACCAGAGAUGGGGACCUUCUGGCCUCUUGCCAUCGCAUGUGCCCAAAUGGGAUUAUCUAGUAGGUGGGGUAACGGCUCACCAAGGCGACGAUCCCUAUCUGGUCUGAGAGGAUGACCAGCCACACUGAAACUGAGACACGGUCCAUACUCCUACGGGAGGCAGCAAUGGGGAAUAUUGGACAAUGGGCGCAAGCCUGAUGCACCCAUGCCGCGUGUAUGAAGAAGGCCUUCGGGUUGUAAAGUACUUUCAGCGGGGAGGAAAGCGAUACGGUUAAUAACCGUGUCCAUUGACGUUACCCGCAGAAUAAGCACCGGCUAACUCCGUGCCAGCAGCCGC